GACGAACGCUGGCGGCGUGCUUAACACAUGCAAGUCGAACGCUGAAGCCCUUCGGGGUGGAUGAGUGGCGAACGGGUGAGUAACACGUGGGUAAUCUGCCCUGCACUCUGGGAUAAGCCUUGGAAACGGGGUCUAAUACCGGAUAGGACACAUCGCCGCAUGGUGUGUGUGUGGAAAGUUCCGGCGGUGCAGGUUGAGCCCGCGGCCUAUCAGCUUGUUGGUGGGGUGAUGGCCUACCAAGGCGACGACGGGUAGCCGGCCUGAGAGGGUGACCGGCCACACGGGGACUGAGACACGGCCCAGACUCCUACGGGAGGCAGCAGUGGGGAAUCUUGCGCAAUGGGCGAAAGCCUGACGCAGCAACGCCGCGUGGGGGAUGACGGCCUUCGGGUUGUAAACCUCUUUCGACCGGGACGAAGGAUUCGUUUGACGGUACCGGUAGAAGAAGCACCGGCUAACUACGUGCCAGCCGCCACCGUAA
rnacentral:rRNA from 1 species